AAGAUGAGGAGGAGGAUGAAGAUGAUGAGAAGAAGGAAGAGGAGGAGCAGAACAAAGAAAAUACAGUUGUUACACAUAAUACGUCUCUGAAGAAACAGGACAUGGACUGGAAAGUUGGGACACAAACAUCUCUUAAGAAACAGGAUAUGGACUGGAAAGAUGAUCUUGACAGGAGGUCAUUGUUUGUGAAAAAUUUCCCGAAAAAAA